GGUGCAUCAGUCCGACCCGCCGGGGCUGAAGCACGACGACCUCCGCCUCCUCCCCCCCCUGGCGGGGGUCGUCCCUU
rfam:Mycobacterium ulcerans str. Harvey Harvey.contig.169, whole genome shotgun sequence.